UACGUAGGUGGCGAGCGUUGUCCGGAUUUACUGGGCGUAAAGCGCGCGCAGGCGGCAGUCUAAGUCCUCUGUGAAAUCACCCGGCUCAACUGGGUGGCUGCGGAGGAGACUGGGCAGCUUGAGGGGCCUAGAGGCCGGUGGAACUCCCGGUGUAGUGGUGAAAUGCGUAGAUAUCGGGAGGAACCCCAGUGGCGAAGGCGAUCACCUGGGGUUGUUCUGACGCUGAGGAGCGAAAGCUAGGGGAGCAAACGGG
rnacentral:rRNA from 1 species